ACGUAGGCAGCAAGCGUUGUUCGGAGUUACUGGGCGUAAAGGGUGUGUAGGCGGUUCUUUAAGUUUGGUGUGAAAUCUCCCGGCUCAACCGGGAGGGUGCGCCGAAUACUGAGGGACUAGAGUACGGGAGAGGAAAGUGGAAUUCCUGGUGUAGCGGUGAAAUGCGUAGAUAUCAGGAGGAACACCGGUGGUGUAGACGGCUUUCUGGACCGUAACUGACGCUGAGACACGAAAGCGUGGGUAGCAAACAGGAUUAGAUACCCUGGUAGUCCACGCCCUAAACGAUGCAUAUUUGGUGUGGGCAGUUCAUUCUGUCUGUGCCGGAGCUAACGCGUUAAAUAUGCCGCCUGGGGAGUACAGUCGCAAGGCUG
rnacentral:rRNA from 1 species